AUUGAACGCUGGCGGCAUGCCUUACACAUGCAAGUCGAACGGUAACAGGUCUUCGGAUGCUGACGAGUGGCGAACGGGUGAGUAAUACAUCGGAACGUGCCUAGUAGUGGGGGAUAACUACUCGAAAGAGUGGCUAAUACCGCAUGAGAUCUACGGAUGAAAGCAGGGGAUCGCAAGACCUUGUGCUACUAGAGCGGCCGAUGGCAGAUUAGGUAGUUGGUGGGAUAAAAGCUUACCAAGCCGACGGUCUGUAGCUGGUCUGAGAGGACGAUCAGCCACACUGGGACUGAGACACGGCCCAGACUCCUACGGGAGGCAGCAGUGGGGAAUUUUGGACAAUGGGCGCAAGCCUGAUCCAGCAAUGCCGCGUGCAGGAUGAGGGCCUUCGGGUUGUAAACUGCUUUUGUACGGAACGAAAAGCCCUGGGUUAAUACCCUGGGGUCAUGACGGUACCGUAAGAAUAAGCACCGGCUAACUACGUGCCAGCCGCCGCCGUAAGAC
rnacentral:rRNA from 1 species